UACGGAGGGAGCUAGCGUUGUUCGGAAUUACUGGGCGUAAAGCGCACGUAGGCGGCUUUGUAAGUUAGAGGUGAAAGCCCGGGGCUCAACUCCGGAACUGCCUUUAAAACUGCAUCGCUUGAAUCCAGGAGAGGUGAGUGGAAUUCCGAGUGUAGAGGUGAAAUUCGUAGAUAUUCGGAAGAACACCAGUGGCGAAGGCGGCUCACUGGACUGGUAUUGACGCUGAGGCGCGAAAAGCUAGGGGAGCAAACGGGG
rnacentral:rRNA from 1 species